UACGUAGGUGACAAACGUUAUCCGGAGUUACUGGGCGUAAAGGGCGUGUAGGCGGUCUGUUAAGUCUGGCGUGAAAGCUCUCGGCUAAACCGGGAGAGGUCGUUGGAUACUGGCAGACUAGAGGACGGUAGAGGCGUGUGGAAUUCCGGGUGUAGUGGUGAAAUGCGUAGAGAUCCGGAGGAACACCAGUGGCGAAGGCGACAUCCUGGACCAACACUGACACUGAGGAGCGAAAGCCAGGGGAGCAAACGGG
rnacentral:rRNA from 1 species